rnacentral:rRNA from 1 species
ACAUCCAGAGAACUUAGCAGAGAUGCUUUGGUGCCUUCGGGAACUCUGAGACAGGUGCUGCAUGGCUGUCGUCAGCUCGUGUUGUGAAAUGUUGGGUUAAGUCCCGCAACGAGCGCAACCCUUAUCCUUUGUUGCCAGCGGCUCGGCCGGGAACUCAAAGGAGACUGCCGGUGAUAAACCGGAGGAAGGUGGGGAUGACGUCAAGUCAUCAUGGCCCUUACGGCCAGGGCUACACACGUGCUACAAUGGCGCAUACAAAGAGAAGCGACCUCGCGAGAGCAAGCGGACCUCAUAAAGUGCGUCGUAGUCCGGAUUGGAGUCUGCAACUCGACUCCAUGAAGUCGGAAUCGCUAGUAAUCGUAGAUCAGAAUGCUACGGUGAAUACGUUCCCGGGCCUUGUACACACCGCCCGUCACACCAUGGGAGUGGGUUGCAAAAGAAGUAGGUAGCUUAACCUUCGGGAGGGCGCUUACCACUUUGUGAUUCAUGACUGGGGUGAAGUCGUAACAAGGUAGGCGUACGUGU